GUGAAUCAUCAAAUCUUUGAACGCAAAUUGCACUCUCUGGUAUUCCGGAGAGUAUGCCUGUUUGAGGGUCAGUUUAAAUAAAAAUCGGUGUGGUUGCUGCUUUUCGUGGUGACGCACGGGAUUUGGGUCGUCUGGUCUUCGGUUAAGUGACCUAAAGUUAUGCAUGAAUUUUUUCGAACGUAUUUUAAUGCUUUUACGUAAGGUUGGGAUUUCGUAUUCUAGGUGUGUUCAUGUUCAUGUUU
rnacentral:misc_RNA from 1 species